AAGUCGUAACAAGGUUUCCGUAGGUGAACCUGCGGAAGGAUCAUUAACAAAGUUGCCACUCUGUGGCUCUUUGAAAUUCACCCUUGUGCAUUGUACGUUGUAUUUCAGAUGGUCUUUGGGAAUGGAGUGCAAGCUUCACUCCCAAGGGCUGUCUACAUUAACUACUUGUCUUAACGUUGACUACUUAUAUGUCAAAUAAAUAAAAACAACUUUUGACAAUGGAUCUCUUGGCUCUC
rnacentral:misc_RNA from 1 species